UCUUAGGUGUUAUUAGUGACCAGUGGUGU
rnacentral:piRNA from 1 species